rnacentral:rRNA from 1 species
UUGCACGCUGGCGGCAUGCUUUACCCAUGCCAGUCGAACGGCAGCGCGGGCUUCGGCCUGGCGGCGAGUGGCGAACGGGUGAGUAAUGCAUCGGAACGUGCCCAGUAGUGGGGGAUAGCCCGGCGAAAGCCGGAUUAAUACCGCAUACGACCUGAGGGUGAAAGCGGGGGACCGAAAGGCCUCGCGCUAUUGGAGCGGCCGAUGUCGGAUUAGCUAGUUGGUGGGGUAAAGGCUUACCAAGGCGACGAUCCGUAGCUGGUCUGAGAGGACGACCAGCCACACUGGGACUGAGACACGGCCCAGACUCCUACGGGAGGCAGCAGUGGGGAAUUUUGGACAAUGGGGGCAACCCUGAUCCAGCCAUGCCGCGUGCGGGAAGAAGGCCUUCGGGUUGUAAACCGCUUUUGUUCGGGAAGAAAUCCUCUGGGCUAAUACCCCGGGGGGAUGACGGUACCGGAAGAAUAAGCACCGGCUAACUACGUG